rnacentral:tRNA from 1 species
AUUGGAGUGGCAGAGUCAGGAUAUUGUAAAAGGCCUAAGCCCUUUUUAUAGAAGUUCAAAUCUUCUCUCCAAU